rnacentral:rRNA from 1 species
UGCAAGUCGAACGAGCCUUCGGGCUAGUGGCGGACGGGUGAGUAACGCGUGGCGCAAUCUGCCCUCAGGAGGGGGAUAACGGCCGGAAACGGCCGCUAAUACCCCAUAUGCCGAGAGGUGAAAUGAAUUUCGCCUGAGGAUGAGCCCGCGUCUGAUUAGCUAGUUGGUGGGGUAAUGGCCCACCAAGGCGACGAUCAGUAGCUGGUCUGAGAGGAUGAUCAGCCACACUGGGACUGAGACACGGCCCAGACUCCUACGGGAGGCAGCAGUGGGGAAUUUUCCGCAAUGGGCGAAAGCCUGACGGAGCAACGCCGCGUGAGGGAUGAAGGCCUCUGGGCUGUAAACCUCUUUUCUCAAGGAAGAAGACAUGACGGUACUUGAGGAAUAAGCCACGGCUAAUUCCGUGCCAGCAGCCGCGGUAAUACGGGAGUGGCAAGCGUUAUCCGGAAUUAUUGGGCGUAAAGCGUCCGCAGGCGGCCUUGUAAGUCUGUCGUUAAAGCGUGGAGCUUAACUCCAUUUCAGCGAUGGAAACUACAAGGCUUGAGUGUGGUAGGGGCAGAGGGAAUUCCCGGUGUAGCGGUGAAAUGCGUAGAUAUCGGGAAGAACACCAGUGGCGAAGGCGCUCUGCUGGGCCAUAACUGACGCUCAUGGACGAAAGCCAGGGGAGCGAAAGGGAUUAGAUACCCCUGUAGUCCUGGCCGUAAACGAUGAACACUAGGUGUCGGGGGAAUCGACCCCCUCGGUGUCGUAGCUAACGCGUUUAAGUGUUCCGCCUGGGGAGUACGCACGCAAGUGUGAAACUCAAAGGAAAAGACGGGGGCCCGSACAAGCGGUGGAGUAKGUGGUUUMAUUCUAUGCAACGCGAAGAACCUUACCAGGGUUUGACAUCCUGCGAAUCCCUUGGAAACGAGGGAGUGCCUUCGGGAGCGCAGAGACRGGUGGUGCAUGGCUGUCGUCAGCUCGUGUCGUGAGAUGUUGGGUUAAGUCCCGCAACGAGCGCAACCCACGUCUUUAGUUGCCAGCAUUCAGUUGGGCACUCUAGAGAGACCGCCGGUGAUAAACCGGAKGAAGGUGUGGAUGACGUCMAGUCAUCAUGCCCCUUACAUCCUGGGCUACACACGUACUACAAUGCUACGGACAAAGGGUUGCAAGCUCGCGAGAGUUAGCUAAUCCCAUAAACCGUGGCUCAGUUCAGAUCGUAGGCUGCAACUCGCCUACGUGAAGGAGGAAUCGCUAGUAAUCGCAGGUCASCAUACUGCGGUGAAUACGUUCCCGGGCCUUGUACACACCGCCCGUCACACCAUGGAAGUUGGCCAUGCCCRAAGUCGUUACUCCAACCCUUGUGGAGGAGGACGCCGAAGGUGGGGCUGAUGACUGGSGUGAAGUCGUAACAAGGUAGCCGUACCGGAAGGUGCGGCUGGAUCACCUCCU